GGCUUCAUGGCGCAGUGGCAGCGCGCUAGGCUAUGAUCAUAGCCUAGAGGUUCUCCGAUCGAAACGGAGUGAAGCUU